rnacentral:rRNA from 1 species
CCUACGGGAGGCAGCAGUGGGGGAUAUUGCACAAUGGGGGGAACCCUGAUGCAGCGACGCCGCGUGGGUGAAGGAGCGUUUCGGCGCGUAAAGCCCUAUCGGCAGGGAAGAAGGAGGACGGUACCUGACUAAGAAGCGCCUGCUAACUACGUGCCAGCAGCCGCGGUAAUACUUAGGGGGCAAGCGUGUUCCGGACUUACUGGGUGUAAAGGGGGCGCAGACGGCAGCGCAAGCCAGGGGUGAAAGCCCGGGGCCCAACCCCGGGAAUGCUCUUGGAACUGCGUGGCUGUAGUGCAGGAGGGGUAGGCGGAAUUCCUGGGGGAGCGGUGAAAUGCGU